rnacentral:rRNA from 1 species
UACGUAGGGUGCGAGCGUUGUCCGGAAUUACUGGGCGUAAAGCGUGCGCAGGCGGUUUUGUAAGUCAGAUGUGAAAUCCCCGGGCUUAACCUGGGAACUGCGUUUGAAACUACAAGGCUAGAGUGUGGCAGAGGGGGGGUGGAAUUCCACGUGUAGCAGUGAAAUGCGUAGAGAUGUGGAGGAACACCGAUGGCGAAGGCAGCCCCCUGGGUUAACACUGACGCUCAGGCACGAAAGCGUGGGGAGCAAACAGGG